rnacentral:lncRNA from 1 species
GAUGACAGCCGUGAUAUGCCCUCAGAUGCUCAGGAAGCCAGAUUCUUGUCAUCAAAUCAGGGGACAACGAGCAGAUGAGCUAAUGAGUUGGGAAACAAGGCAACAUUCCACUGCUGAAGUGAAGUGCCCUGGUGUUGAAAUAAUGGGCAAGUUGAGGUCUGUGGUCCCAACUCCCUUCCCUGGAUGGGGUGUCUGAUGAACUGGAGGCCCUUUUGUUUGCCCAACAUCCUGAUGGGUUGCAAAUGUGGGCAUAAAAGCUGGAGUGUAGUAAAAUUGUUCAACACAUAGGAGUUGAGGCAAUUAACAUUUCCAGAGCAGAGACCACUGGGACAGCUGCUGAGUGGAGAAACGGGCCUGACACAUGGGAUUUGGAGAACAGAAUGUCCAGUGUGGAUGUUGUAGUUCUUGUGUCUUCAAGACAACCCCAUUCUCUCCUCUCUAGAGAAGUCCAGGCUGAUGAUUAAAGUUGUCUGGGGAGCAGGAAAGACUCGAAGAUGUGCCAGGUUCUGUGUCCAGGUGGAGGUGCGGAGACAGAUAGCACAUAUGAACACUGGCAGCAGAGAAUGCACCAAUGGCUGCUAUUUGGGCUGUGGGGAUGCACAGCAUGAAGGCUGUGGGAAGCCAGAGGUAACAAGC